GGGGCUGACCUGGUUUUGACAGCAUGUGGGGUGGUAUGCAAGCAUGCAGGAUGUGGUGACACGUUCCUUGAACAGUGUUACAAAACAAUAACUGGCGAAUACAAUUACGCUCUCGCUGCCUAAGCGAAUAAAGUAGCUUAAGCUUUAUCCCGGCCAGGUUGCCGGGACGGGACGUUUCCCGGGCGGUCAUGCCCUGAUCCAACCCGAUACGGAGACGCACGCAAUUCAGGGCUGGCCCGACGAUUGUUCCGGUCCGACGGUGAGAAAAACAGGAAAUAAGGGCAUAUUAGGUCGUUCUGCAGCUGAUGUGCCUCGAAAAUCAAGCAGGACUAAGCAUGUAGAAAACAUAUGGUCUCCAUGCCUGGACGCGGGUUCGACUCCCGCCAGCUCCACGU
rnacentral:tmRNA from 1 species